rnacentral:rRNA from 1 species
CAGUAGCCACGGGAAUACGAAGGGUGCAAGCGUUACUCGGAAUUACUGGGCGUAAAGCGUGCGUAGGUGGUGGUUUAAGUCCGUUGUGGAAGCCCUGGGCUCAACCUGGGAAUUGCAGUGGAUACUGGGUCACUAGAGUGUGGUAGAGGAUAGUGGAAUUUCCGGUGUAGCAGUGAAAUGCGUAGAGAUCGGAAGGAACAUCUGUGGCGAAGGCGACUAUCUGGGCCAACACUGACACUGAGGCACGAAAGCGUGGGGAGCAAACAGGAUUAGAUACCCGAGUAGUCCCUGUCUCUUAUAC